UACUUACUUGGCAUGGAUCUGGCCCAGGAGAUGUCAGUAGGGUUCCUUGGAUGUGACCUCUAAGAAAGCUCUCUCGCUGGGUCUGAGGUGGCACACGUCCUUUUACUCCCUGCAUCAAUCCUUCUCCCCUAGACCUCACGGACACCCCUUAAAGGGACGUCAGGAAAGUAGGAAAGAGGCAGCCCAAGAUUGCAGAUCUCCGGACUUCUUCUGCAUGAGUGGAAAUAAAUGGUUUCUAACUGAACAGUGAGAGGGAAACAUAGGAGAGUAUGCAUAAAGGGACCACUUGGGUCCAACUUGUACUUGAUGGAGUUCAACUUGUACUCCAUCUGAUGGAGUGGGUCUCUGUGGAAAGCACAUAUUUUCUGGGCGUUUGAGGAAAUGCCAGUAUAUUGUAAAACAAACACAAAAGAAUUACUUUGGGCCUGGAAAGCCCUCUGAGACACUGACGGCUGAGUGACCUUGAUAAGAAGAUUGACUAGGAGUGCUCUGGGGCCGCCCUUUAUCUUCUCCCUUCCCUCCCCCGGACUUAUAUCAGUAGGACUUUCACUAGGGCAAGUGACCGAAAUCCACAGAGACUCAGGCAAGCAAGCAUAAGUACAGCUUGGGAAAAAAAGCAAAACUCUGCUAAUAACCCUUCUCAGGCUCCUAGUGAGACCAAACUGCAUCAACUUAUUCAAGUGGGCUCUAAAUACAGACCAAGGAAUCUAGACCCUUACUUUGGAUCUUUGUAUUUCAUGACUUCUGAGUUGGCCAGGAUAUGUGUCAAGCAGAUUCUCUGGGCCACUCUCUGGGCCUAAAUAAUGAGGCACCAAAUUUUAUUUUGGCUUAAAAUAGUCUGUUGUUUCCAUUCAUUACAAGCUCUGAUUCUUCUGCUUGAAUGUUCUGCAAGGCAUGUGGAUAAGCCCCUCUGCUUGCUUGCUUGCUUUCUUUCUUUCUUUCUUUCUUUCUUUCUUUCUUUUUUUUUAAGGUAAGCUUCACCUGUGCGUUCCCAGAAACCAUCCUACACACCCUUGGUACCCUAUAAAUCACAAAGCCCUCCCUCAAUUCUAAAUUUGGUGUGGCCUUUCUUUCCUCUCUCACUUUCAUUUUGAAAUCAGCAGCGUGACCUAUAUUCCAGAAAAAAGAACUUGGGGGUGCCACAUACAGAAUAUACAAGGAAGGAUAAUGACACAGACAACACGGACAGAUUAAACCGCAGGGAGGUGUUUGGCAAAUUCUCUGCAGAAAUUCUCCCGGGCACGAGGCCUUUGAACAUGAAAGCUGGUAACUGAGAUUCAGUUCAGAUAAAUCUGUGGGCAGAGAGCAAGCGAGGGCCUCCAUUUUCCGGAAGAGGCAAAAAUCACGGUUGCCAGGAAACCAUCAUUGGUCUGCAUUGCUUUGGAGCGUUUCUUCAGUAAGAAACCCCUUAGAACCAAGAGGAUUCCCAAGUUCGUCUUGCAUGGCUCCUACUUUUCUUAAGCAAUUUAACACAAUCCUUUUAGGACUUGGGCUGUGAAUUUGGCAGAGGGCAAGCAGUAUCUAUCCUAUCAUAUCACCUGUGCUGCCCCCUUUCCUCGGGAAUGGCGGUGCCUGGGGUUUGGGAUCUUUCGUGCGGAGACCGAAGGUUGAAGUUGACAAGGCUACACGUUUUGAUGUUCAACGGACUCGUAGUUGCUGAGUACCUGGUGGAUAUUUUUAAAUAAACUGAGCUAAAUAAACUAUUGCCCUCUUGUUGUUUGGUCUCAUUGAUUUAUGCUAUUUUAUAAAUACUGCACAGUGAAAGAAUGCUGCAUCUAGAGUCUAUCUGUCAUCCUAAGAAAAAGGAGCUGGACUGAGAUUAAGGAGCUUCUAAAAAAAAAAAAAAAAAAAAAAAAAAAAAGGCAACCCAAGCUGGGUAAUCACUGAACUCAGGCCCUGGAUGCUAACUUUGGAGCCUCUGUAGGCUGCAGAGAAACAGGUUAAUCAUUUAAAGUUUUCAGCAAGCCCAGUGGAUGAAAAUCCAAACAGAUUAAGUCUUGCUAAAUUACAUGGUCAAGGAAUGCUUUUCCUCUAUGCUAUCAUUUACCACAGGGGCCUAUAAAACAUCCUUAAUCACUAUCUAAGUAACUUGAACUUGGGACAGACAGAGCCCCAAGAGGUUUGACCCUGUGAAAACUUCUUUACAGAGUGUGAUCAGAAACUUACAAAUUCCACAUAAAAUACUUGAGUCACAUGCACUAUGUACUGUGGGUAAAGGCUCUUUGUUUGAAUUAGAAACACAUGUUAUCGAUCAAUUAUUUAUUCUGCUACCUGUUGGUUCCAUCUGAUACCAGUUUGUGUGGGAAAGGGAGGCCAGCUAUAGGGGACAGGUUAAGGACACAGCUGCCCGUUGCCAGUUCCACAAUCAGCAACUUUUGGGGCAUCAGAGAGAUAUCAACUCGUUUAAUCAAAUUCUAUUUUGCAUAACCUCCAGCAUUAGAGAGGUUGUCUGCCCAAAGAGACACGGCCAUGGAGGGGCCGCAGAGGAAGAAGACACAACCAUCAAUGCCCAAGGCUCUUCUGAAUGGGCAAUGAGCAGUUCUGACGCUGAGGUUGAGUUGUUUUCAUUAUGUAAUCAUUAAAUGGGAAAAACAAUCGUCUCAACACACUUUGUUAAAAAAGAAGCCCGUUAUUUUCUAGAAGGGCUUCUGAAAUGAACUGUUAGUUGGUCAUUGAUUAUUUAGAGAGACAAGAGAGUGAGCAAGGAAAAAAAUUAUGUGGGAAACAGCUGAUAAGAGCCAUGAUGAGUAAGGAUGAUCUUCUCCAAGAUGUAAACAAAAAUGAUUGCAUUAAAGGGGCUCACCGCUUUCCAGGGCACUGCUAAUGCACAUCCCCGUGCAUUAAUCCACAGUCACCAGGCCUUUUGCCUUGGAAGCAGGAACAUUUAGUCCUCUGGCGGGGCUGCCCUUAGGGAAUAAACAAACACAAUGCGGCAUGGGAUUUAUCGCCCAUUAAAUGGACACUGCUGUGGGUUGUGUUUUUUUUUUUUUUUUCUCUUUAUUUUUGAGAGAGAGAGUGAGAGAGGGGCAGAGAGAGGGAGAGAGAAAAUCCCAAGCAGACUCUGCACUGUCAGCACAGGGCCCGAAGUGGGGCUGGAUCCCAGGAACUCUGAAGUCAGGAGCUGGAUGCUUAAUGGACGGAGCCAUCCAAGUGACACUGGAGUUUUGAGGCAGGCCCUUCAAGGAAAGGAGGCCAACCUGAGGGGUUACACAGAUCUGGGCUGACGGCAAUUGCUCAAUUGCUCAUCUUAUAAAUUGUGCAACUUAGAGCAAACGACUUAGCAUUUCUGAUUCUUCGUUGCCCUACCUAGAGUUUUCCUUGCCAUAUUAAGCUGUCAUGAAGAGUGGAGCCUUCAGAAACGAACUGCCUAGGUUUAGAUCUCAUUUCUACUGUUUUCCUGCUGUGUGACUUUGGGCAAUUUACUUAAUCUCCCUGUGCCCCAGUUUUCUCAGCUGCGAAGUGAGGAACAGAAUAGAAACCACCUCACCGUCACUGCAAGGAUUAAGUGCAGUAACAUCUGUAAAAUGCUUACGGCAACGUCUGGCACGUCGUGAGUGCUAGGAAAGUGCGUGCUGUUGUGGCCAGCAGCAAACUCCUCUCCUUUAGUGUUCUGUCAAUUAAUUUACAUUCCUUGACCUUUGACAUUGACUUAAGCCAAUAAAAAAAAAAAAAAGGAAAGCAAGAGAAAAGAAAAAAAAAAGAAAUUAAAAAGUGUCAUUUGGAAUUUGGUAGAAGGAAUAUAAAUUAUUCUCAUCCCAAUAUAAAUUAUUUGCGUACUUUCUUAUCAAAACCACUUCGGAUUAAGUAAACCACACUUCCUCCCCGUUGUGUGAAGCAUCAGGAUUCAGUACAAUGGUGCACUGAGAAUGAAAAUACCACUCUACUCACAUACACCGAAGGCUUAGUGACAGUACUAAAUGAAGGAAACAUUAGCCUGGAUCAUACAGGAUACUCUGCGGUAUAAACUACCUAGGAGACAUUGCAUUUACGCAGUUUCAACCACUGUUUAACCAUUUUAUAACAUAAUGUCAUGAUUAUGUCCAAACUUCUCAACAUGUUCCAGCAAAGUAAAGGGGUUCUAAGAGAAGCAGGAUCAUUAUCCAGCAACGACCCAUCACGACCAAUCAAGCCGCAGCUAACUGAACCCGGAAAAACUGCUGACUUACAAGGUGCUGGGCCCCAUGAGUCUGCAAAGCACCCAGAAGACUGAAAACCACGUUUCAUGUGCCAGAAAAGACAUGUUGCAACUCAUCUGGGAUGAAGGAAAAACCAUUCUUUUUCUUUAAGAGUUCAUUAGAUUAAAACAACUAUGCAAAAACAAACAGAAGAAAUAUACAAUGAUGUCAUAUUGAAUGUCACAGACUGAAACCACCCAGGUCAUGGAGAACUAAGGAUUUGAAAUAAUGUAUGGACCACGGAGAGGAAAAAGGAACAAGGCGAGCAAUGCAUGAGGAAAGAAGAUAGAACAUAGGAGUGAAUUAAUGUGUGCGCUUAAUUCACUUAGGGAAGAGCGCCGACUCAUUGUGAGCCCAGGAUUGAGGAGACUUGCAUACAUUUCCACUAUACUGCCUGGAUUGUGAUACUAUGGAUAUAGCAUUGAUGACGGUCUUUGGUGCUAAAUGAUGCUUUGACCAAGUAGAUGUUCAGAUAAGUUCUGCCAGGACACACAAAUAGCACUUUCAUCGGCCGCUGCUCCAAGGGAACUGCUUCUGUUAUGUGUACUUAGCUAGUGUUUUCCAGAAAGACUGCAGCUGUUUAGCCUCAGAGCUUUAUAGAUUAUUCUUUUUUUGGAAAAUACUGAGAGUCGCCACUAUCUGCUCUGAAUGUUUCGUAUUUUAAUGCAUAAGAAGUAUGUGUGCAAUGGGUGAGUAGAUGAUACUUUUUUAAAAUUGCAAAUUGUAAAAUAUAACCGAACUCUUAAACACCAUACAAUCAGAAUCACGAAAGCAAGCUACUCAGAAACUGAGUCUCAAUGCCGACUAUAGAUCUUUUGUCAGAACUAAGAAACUACAAAUCAAAAUGUGGCCGUCUUCAGCCUCUUGUAAGGUCUUUAGGUAUGACACCAUGAGGUCAAGACAUAGAACUCCGAGUGUGCAUGUGUUUUCAUGUUUAUAUACUUUGAGUUUGCUUUGUGCCCACUAAUUUAUUAAGUACCUUCCUCCUUUCAGUUAAUCCAGUACUAAGGAGGCACUACAUUUUUGUAUAAAAUGGGUUUUAAGCUUUGCCCAAAGGGGAAAGACAUCAUUAUUUUUCAAGGAUUUUUCUUUUUGGAAAGCAUCACGGUGUGUGUUAACAUACAUAAGAGAUUGAAUCUCAGUAAAUGUGAAAGCUAGCUUUCUUAAAUGAUUUUCUUUCCCCAAGUUGACCUAACAGGUAUAGAAGAGAGUCUGCACGUAUUUCAAUUUACAUGCAGGAAAAUGACAAUGAGCUUACAAGAAAGCGUUAUUUAUAGUGUCAGUUCCUGCCUUGCUAAAAUUUGGUGAUUCAGUUAUUCAAACCAUGUAACAGAAUAGAUUUAGUGUAAAUACAAGUUUUAAAAAGAGAUUUUCUUUGCUGAUAAGACCAGAAGCUGAAACACAGACAGAAUUGAAGUCUGUGUAGUAAAUUCAGAGUUUCUCUGUUACUAACAAGAGAGACAAUUUUCUGAAAUGCUCGUUUACAGUGAUCAUUCAUCUGGAUUUCUUUAACAUUUAGAAUGGACCAGGGGAAGCUCAAAUCUGAAUGGAGGAGAAGAAAUAUUUGGAUUUGAUCCUAGUUAGUACCUUAAAAUAUCUAAGUAAGCACCUAUAAGAUGGGCAGUAAUGUAACUUGGAUUUUGUUUUAGUAACCAUAUAGGGCUAUUAUUGUUAUUUUUCCUGUCAUCAUUAGUCAUUAAUGUUAUUGGUGACCGUGCAGUAUAGCAUUUUAAUUUUGCAUAGUUGUGAUACAAGUUACUUAUUUGUAACUUGUACAUAGGGCUUGGAAUAUUAAAAGACACAUUUACCAAGGGCCUGGAAUUAAAUAUCAAUGGGGGAUAUACGCCUGCAGAACAUGAACUUGUCAAUGAAAGAGGAAAAGAUCGAUCGCAUCCUCAGAUACUGAUCAAAUUUAUUUUUUUAAAUGGAAGAAAGUCUCCCAUAGCGAAGCACAGAAAUUGAGCCAAACAUUUGGAAAUAGGUCUUGUGUGAGGACCUAUUAUACACUAUACACUUUAUUCAGUGUAAGAAUAAUUUGGGGGGAGUUAGUAACUGGCAGCGAAAAUUAUCAGCCCUAUUCUUUGGUUUCUAGAUUUGUCUGAGCACGGUUGCCGUGAAAAGUUGUAUUUUGCAGAGAGGAGAGGAAGAAACCUUGAGUCUGAAAUCAGCAGGCUUAGAAUCUGUUAUCAACAGCCUCCACUCACAUGAGGAACUUCCUUGACACAUAAUUUCUCUAUCUCUAUUUCCUUAUACAUGAAAAUUGGGAUUUGGGAAAUCAUAUGAGGAGAAAUGCAGAAGAAAAGAUCACAUGGCAGGAAUGCAGCCAGAGGCAACAGAUGAAGAAAUGACAGUCCGAAUAACGUUCUAACAGUCCUGCUCACAUCUCUUAGCCUCCUGUUCAGUCAUCGGCAGAUCCCUCCCCGUCUAACGAAUAAAGGGUCACUCUUCAUGCUUGUCUUAAGGGUC